UAGAGACCAACUAAGCUUGUCAUUGGUAUGAGCUUUUGUGUGCAUGCACACUUCUUCAGAUACACUGAAACAGAAGUCACCAGAUGCUUAUAUAUAGUGAGAUGGUGGGGAGGGGUAUUACUCCCUCCUUGUGGUGGGAAUGGGUGAUUGACUGACUGACAGCUGUUGACGACUGUUAACGACUGCAAUUGGUCUUACAGGAGUAAGCAAGGGGUGAGAUGGCUAAAGAUAGCUUUAUCAUGUAUAAUGAGAUAAGAAUCCAAUGUCUUUAUUCAGACCUGGUCUCUCCAUGGUUUUAAGCUUGGUAAUAAGUUGCAGUUCAGCAACUUCUCUUUCCAGUCUAUUUCCGAAAUUACAAAAGAAUUUCAGAAAUAUAUAUAAGCACCUGGUGACUUCUGCUUCAGUGUAUCUGAAGAAGUGUGCAUGCACACGAGAGCUCAUACCUAUGACAAACUUAGUUGGUCUCUAAGGUGCUGCUGGAAGGAAUUUUUUUUUAUUUUGUUUCCUGAUAACUCCAGGAAUAGGAAGUUCAGGAACUCUUAAUACUGUACUGUUAAAUGUGUUGGGGGGAAGUAGGAUGUACGGUAUGCUGAGACCCCUGGGGGGUGGGGCGGUUGCUGUUGGCAACAAAAUAUUAAAAACACAGUAAAGCAUCAACAAUUAAAAACCUCCCUGAACGGGGCCACCUUCAUAUGUCUUCUAAAAGUCAACUAGUUGUUUAUCUCCUUGGCAUCUGAUGGGCGGAUGUUCCACAGGGCAGGAGCCACUACUGAGAAGGCCCUCUGCCUGGUUCCCUGUGGCUUCACAUCUCACCAUGAGGUUCAGGGUAUGCGCCUGAAACCCUUGGAAUCUCUCACCGCUUGGAAACUGAAAUGGCGUGCAACCAGACAAACAACCGAAGCAAAUCAAGAACUUUGGGGGCACUCCAUUCCAUAAGGUCCAAUUUGCAACCACAGGGCGAUCUCUGGAUGCCAGGUUGGCGGCUGGGAAAAGCAAAAUGUCCCCUAGAAGAAAGCAGUUGUAAACUGCUUUGAAAUUUGUUCCAUAAAAUAUAAAGUGGUAUAGACAUGAAAUUAACAACAACAACAACAACAACAACAACAACAACAACAACAACAACAGACACAUGCUAAUAGUAGGAUAUUAAAAUCAAAAGCUGUAAAGACUCAUCAAAAAGUACAGACAAGAAAUCAGAAGGUUCAUGCAGCUGGACCAUAAAGAAGGUUGAUCGCCGAAGAAUUGAUGCUUUUGAAUUAUGGUGCUGGAGGAGACUCUUGAGAGUCCCAUGGACUGCAAGAAGAUCAAACCUAUCCAUUCUUAAGGAAAUCAGCCCUGAGUGCUCCCUGGAAGGACAGAUCGUGAAGCUGAGGUUCCAAUACUUUGGCCACCUCAUGAGAAGAGAAGACUCACUGGAAAAGGCCCUGAUGUUGGGAAAGAUGGAGGGCACAAGGAGAAAGGGACGACAGAGGAUGAGACGGUUGGACAGUGUUCUCGAAGCUACCAACAUGAGUCUGAACAAACUGCGGGAGGCAGUGGGAGACAGGAGUGCCUGGCGUGCUCUGGUCCAUGGGGUCACGAAGAGUCGGACACGACUAAACAACUAAACAACAACAUGCAGGCAUGGUGAAUUCAUAGAUUAAAUCCAUCCCCUUAAUGGUAAAGUCCUUAAUCUUGCUGAAUAGACAAUGAAAUUCAUAGCUGCAUGACAAAGUGCAACGUUUGAGUACUUUUUCAAUUUACAACAUUAAAAUUACAGUUUGACAUUGAUGGGAGGUUAAUUAAAUGGAAGCUGCCAGCAGAUUUUGUUCUGUAAAGAAGAUAUUGUUUACAUUACAUUGUGAUUAGCCAUCACACAAUGAUUCCUAUUGUUUUUUCAAUAACCUGUCAUAAAUGUAUUAUAUGAAGUACGUGAUUACAAAAGAAAAUAACAUACAUUGCAAAUUGAUAAACAGAAGGUAUCGGGGCUAUUCACUUGCUGAUAAAUCAUUUACUUUUUAUUCCACAAACAUACAAUUUAGAAUGCAAAGGUUAUUGUUAGUAAGGUUAAGAUUCUAAAAGUAUUUCAGAUGCACCGGCAGAGGUCUGUUUUCAGGCAACUGAUGUACCUGUUCAGUUCAUACAAUGCUGCACAUCUUUCUAAGCUGAAUCCAAGCUGGUUUAUCACCCAGAAAAAUGAGGCCAGUGCAGGUUCUCUUGUUGAACUGACUAAAGGCAUGGGGUUCUUCUGCACCAUAUCACACUGCCUAUUUCACUACAUAACAAGAGUUCUAUAACUGUAUAGAGUAUCUGCUUUGCAUCUCAGAUGUCCUGGGUUCAAUCCCCAGACCCCAGCAUCUCCAGGUAGGUCUGAGAAUGUGCCCAAACUGAAACGCUUUAAAGCCAUUGCUGCUAAAAGAAAACAAUACCAAGCUAGAUGACCAAUCUUCUGACUCUUCACCAGGCAGCUCCCUAGGUUUCUACUGUAUAAGCUGCUGGAUCAGACCAAAGGUGUAGCUUGUCCAGCAUCCUGCUUUCGACUGUCAGGUGCCUCUCGAAAGCCAAGCAAUAAUUUUCAGAAUGUAAAAUUAAAAUUCUUUGGUUUUCUGAAAGCAGUUCAUGUGCUUCUUCGGCUAAAGUAGUCUUGCCCUGCUAAAUAUUGUCCAGUCACAACAAUAAUAGUAGAUUUGAAUUCCUCACACCCAGAAACAUAUCUUAAAGACAGCUUACAGAAGACAUUUGCAAAAAAAUAAAAUAGUUUCACCCCCUAAAAUGACACCCCCUUACUGGGCUGCCCCAGCAACAAAAAAGUGCACCUUUCUUUAUCCGAAAAAUAGUAGAACUUACUUUUACAUCACUCCGCGUGGUAGUGAGAACCUCACAGAAAGAUAAUGCAAAAUGAUCUUUUCAUUCCUGAGAGCUGAUCCAAACACCUUUCUUUCUUUCUUUCUUUCUUUCUUUCGAGGGCCUGUGUUGCAUUUUGGAAGGCUUCGCAGCACUCUGGAAAAGACAUUGGGGCUAAUUUGGUUGGGUUCAUCACUGCCUCAGAAAUCGAGCAAUUGGAGAGAUCAUCAGGGGAAACUUCCUAACAGUAAGAUCUAAUGAGCUGUCAAAUGGUUUUCCAUGGGGAGUGAUGCUUUUGGCUCGUAGGAAACGAGACUGAAGGAAGCAGCAGAAAAUAUACUGUAGUGUGAGAAGCAGCACUUCACGACUAGAGACUUGAACCACACGACCUGUUAUUUCUAUUCUCUCCCCUGUAAACCUGUAGCUCUUUGAUUCCCGCAGCAAUGAGUGCUUCGAUCGCAGGCUGCUGUGCCGCUUGCUAAUGUGUACUCGAGGCAAACCUGCACUUCCAGUCGCUGCGAGGGCUUUUGUAAAAUUCGGGAUGCCAUGGCAAAAACCGUGGCUGCCAUCGUUUAUUUUAAAAGCAGCAAACACCCAGCAACUUUCACCACAUGCCCUUGCUAUUUAAAGGCUAAUGCUUUAGACAGGGCAAGUUAUUUGCAAGUUAUAAGUCAUUUGCAAAGUCAAAAUAAUGUAUCUUCUUUCCGUGUUAUAACAAAUCAGUCUCACGUGGCACCGCUUUCAUAACCACAUUGCAUCAUACUGUGAUAUAAUAUAUACAUCUCAGGUAAAUGAAUAGGGAUAGCAACCACCAAUAUUUUUGCCAAGUUGCUUCAUGCAGUUUACAGUAUGGCAUAUGGUACCUGAUGUCUUCUACCCACAUACACAAAAGCACUGAUCUCAGGGAAAUAUCUGUUGUCUUGUUUGCAGAGGUCGGAGAUGUUUAAUACAGCUAAAUUUGCCGUGAAGGCUGUUCAGCUUAGACAAGGUCUGCUUUUUAUGUAUAUUUUGCAUACGUCAAAUUUUGAUCUCUGUUUGGCUACAAUCUGCAUUUGGUUGCCUUUUUAAUACAUAUGAAAUGUGCAUGUAUAAUCAAUUACGACUGUUUCCUCUGGCUACAGCAGGGCAGAGGACUGUGUUAUUUUUUCAACUAAUGUGCUGCAAUCCUGUGUACCAAUUUACUUGGGAAUAAGUGCCUUUGGAGCAAGUAGACAUGCAUAGGAUCAUACUGUUUGAGAGGAAUAUACCCUGUUUCUGCGAAAAUAAGACAUACCCAUAAAAUAAGCCGUCGCAGGAUUUCUAAGCAUUUGAGCAAUAUAAGCCGCUACCCCGAAAAUAAGACAUAGUGAUAGGCGCAGUUCUGGAGGGCGCCAAGAAAGAGGCAAGGCUGGACACGUAAUAACAAUAAGACAUCCCCUGAAAAUAAGCCAUAGUGUGUCGUCUUGAGUAAAAAGAAAUAUAAGACAGUGUCUUAUUUUUGGGGAAACAUGGUGGUUGCGCAGACCAGUAUUAUAGUGGCCAAUCUAUAUUAUCGUAAACCUGGAUGUAAACAAAUUAGGGCUUUGCUCUACUUAUAUAUCCUUCUAACAAGGAGGAAUGUCUGGAGUGAAUAUUCUGAGAAUUACCAGUAGGGGAGAGAGUUUUCAUCAGUCUGUUGCCUACGGAAAGGCCUUCUUACUUGCAUAGUGAGCUGCUUGAAGCUUCAUGCCAGUCUCUGCAGGAGAAGUGUUUGCAACCAGCAUAGAGCUCUUCUGAAAACAAUGGCUCAGGUGUGCUCUCUACUCUGGCUUGAAGGCAGAAAGAAGCUCUGAGAAAACUCAAUGACUCUCCUUUAUAACAUGAAAGUGACUUGCUUGAUAAAUACAUCACUGUAUGAGAUGCUCACAUUAAAUACAAGUACCCCUGAUUUUUGGUUCCGUGUGUGUUUAUCUUCAUCAUACCAGUCCAUUUUUUAAAAUUGAUAUAUGUACUUGUGAAUAUAUACACAAUGGUGUGAAGAAACUAAUAUUGUGAGGGGGGGGAUAAUAAAUGUAAGAAUUAUGCUCUUUAAAAAACCAAACCUCUUUGGUUUGCAGUUAACUGAACAAGGGUGAAAGACUUGACAGUUUAUUCUAACUGAAGCCUGGAAGAUACAAUGUAAAUUGGCAGCCUGUCAAGAAACAAAAUAAUGUAUAAUAAUUGGAA